rnacentral:tRNA from 1 species
GGGGAUAUGGCUCAGUUGGUAGGGUGUUUGCUUCACAUGCACAAGGCCCUGGGUUCAAUCCCCAGAACUUCUC